AGGGAAUAUUGGACAAUGGGGGCAACCCUGAUCCAGCCAUGCCGCGUGAGUGAAGAAGGCCCUCGGGUUGUAAAGCUCUUCUGUCCGGAAAGAAAAGCAUUCGGUGAAUACCCGGAUGUUCUGACGGUACCGGAAGAAUAAGCACCGGCUAACUUCGUGCCAGCAGCCGCGGUAGUACGAAGGGUGCAAGCGUUACUCGGAAUUACUGGGCGUAAAGCGUGCGUAGGUGGUUGUUUAAGUCUGAUGUGAAAGCCCUGGGCUCAACCUGGGAAUGGCAUUGGAAACUGGGCAGCUAGAGUGCGGUAGAGGGUAGUGGAAUUCCCGGUGUAGCAGUGAAAUGCGUAGAGAUCGGGAGGAACAUCUGUGGCGAAGGCGACUGCCUGGACCAGCACUGACACUGAGGCACGAAAGCGUGGGGAGCAAACA
rnacentral:rRNA from 1 species